GGUGAAUCUGCUAGGCAGAGGUCAUAAAACUACAGUGCCUGUAACUUCAUGUUGCAAGUAAUAAGACAAAUGAACCAGUUGCCAGACCCUCCUACAUGCAUGGCACACCUUCCAGGCAUUACCGCAACUUAGUCAGCUGGUGCUGGGGCUACCUAGGAAGGAAAGUCAGGGUUGUCAUCCUGACCUGUCCUGUAGUCUGGAUACACGAAGAAUUUCCUGAUUGGGUUGGUUACAGAAACCCAAAGAGUUUUGACUCUAAAAGCACUUGGUCCACACAACACCAAGUCACAGAAGUGUCCUUUCCUCCCAAGAAGCCAGAUGCAUGGUGGCAGAAAAAGCAUUGCUGACGUCAGAACAAUGCCACACUCCCAAUAUUUAAGUGCAAUAUGUAAAGGAAAGUAGACUACUAAUUACAAAAUUAUAGUCAAAGAAAAAAACAGUAAACCUACCUAUAAUAUUAAUUUUCUAAAACUGUUUUGUCUUCUGUUGUGUUUUGCUGAUUGGUGAGAUGAAAGAAAAGGUAAUGGCCAUCAGCUCUUGCCCAAAGAUGAUCCAAUGCUGUGAAGUGGAAAGCGAGGACCUCAGCAUUUUCUUAGCAGAUGAAACCACGCAGAUCAAGCUUCAACUCUGGGACAACUAGAUAUUGGCAGUGAAGACACAGGCCUCCUAUGCGUUCACUAAUUUGUCUGUCAGAGAGUAUGAAGGUGAGAAGUUCCUCACAACAAUCAAAAAUUCCACUAUUGCUGAACCCUGUCACUGUCACUGACCUAACGGUCCCAUCUCUGAUCCUGGAGAAACAAAAGUCUCUCCAGACUGUCAGAACUGAGGUUGUUGCUGUGAAACUGGUGAACAACUUCAACUUCUGCUCCUGCUAUAAGAGGCAAUCCAUCUCUUUCAACCCAAAACAGCCCUUCGGUUGCUGCAAGGGAUACUGGCUUGUACGAAAAACCUUGCUGUUCCUGGCUAGAACCAGCAGAGUCCUGCAUAUCAUCAUUGAUAGCGUGGAAACUGCAUUGACCCUGAACGCUCAACGCUGAACACUCACCCCUGUGUCUCACUUUUAGAAUAACAACUUAGGAGUAAUGGUUGUAAGUCCUAUAAGAUUUUCAUGCUUUCCAAUAGAAUUCUUUUAGAUCCCUAUAAAUUUCUAAAAAUCCUAUUGGAAUUCUAUAGGAAAAAGUUUUGGUUCUUUUAGGAUUUUCUCAGUCCUAUUGGACAUCUGUUUUUUUAUUAUUAUUACUGGUUCCAAUAAACUCCCUAAGGAUACCUAUGAAUUUCUAAAAAUCCUAUAGGAAAUCUGUUUUUUUCUAUUGGAUUAUACAUAUAUUUUAAAUGUCUUACAAGACUUUUAUUCAAGAAUUACCAAUGAUACUCAGUCCUUAUUUAAAAUCAGAUUUUAAUCACUUUAACCACACUUGGUUUCAGUGAUCAGAAUUAAAGAUUUGAACAGACUAUAAGGGGCAAAUUCACAAAAGGAUUUGCAGCUUUUGCUAAAUGUGCACAAAUGAGACAAAAAGAAACUGUGUAAUUCAUAAAGCACCUGCAAAGGGUGAAAUGCACCCCAAGCUGUGCUGC